GGAGAGUUGCCAGAGUGGUUAAUGGAGCAGUUUGCUAAACUGUCGACGGGUAACUGUCGCGUGGGUUCGAAUCCCACACUCUCCGCAA
rnacentral:tRNA from 5 species